rnacentral:rRNA from 1 species
UACAGGGGGGGCAAGCGUUGUUCGGAAUUACUGGGCGUAAAGGGCUCGUAGGUGGCCAACUAAGUCAGACGUGAAAUCCCUCAGCUUAACUGGGGAACUGCGUCUGAUACUGGUUGGCUUGAGUUUGGGAGAGGGAUGCGGAAUUCCAGGUGUAGCGGUGAAAUGCGUAGAUAUCAGGAGGAACACCAAUGGCGAAGGCAGCACUCUGGGACGUGACUGACGCUGAGACGCGAAAGCGUGGGGAGCGAACAGG